ensembl:lncRNA
GUAGAAUCUCAUUGUGUUUGAAUGAGCGAGCUCUACAGGACCCUGCACAGGCCCCGUCUUCCCUCUGGUCUGUCCACUGUGGGCGUGUCCCGAACACUGAAGUCCACGCCCUCAGAGACGUUUACUCGGAAUGAAGCCCAGGACGCUGGAGCUGUGUAUUUUACAAAGCUUUAUUCAGAUCAUUUUCCUCUGCAAUAUUUACAGCAUAAGUUACUGAGACAUCUUUCUGGCAUCCUGAAAGAGAAUCGGUCUUUAGCAUGCGCUCGUAUCCGGAAAAUCAGCACACCAAGGUUUUUGCAUAUUUUUAUUGCAUUAGUCACUGUGUGAGGACUCAAAGUUUAAAUAUGAAAAAACCCAGAAGAUGUGGCUUCAAAUGAGGAUUAGUGUUAAUGUGUAGUAAAAUGUGUGCAGCGUUUCAGGCAGCGUGGAAUCUCCGAGCAGUGAGUCAUGGACCAGUGGCGAGUCUCGGACGGAGGAGCGAGAGAGUCUCAGAUGGAGGAGCGCGUCUCGGAGCGGUGACGGGGUCUGACGCCCAGCUGAGUCUCGGAAAGAUGAGAGUCCCAGAUAAGCGAGGAGUCUCAGAGCAGUGAGUGAGUGAGCGAAUCAGGUCAGUGAAUCAGAGCAGUGAGUGAGUGAGCGAAUCAGGUCAGUGAGUGAGCGAAUCAGGUCAGUGAGUGAGCGAAUCAGGUCAGUGAGUGAGCGAGCGAAUCAGGUCAGUGAAUCAGAGCAGUGAGUGAGUGAGCGAAUCAGGUCAGUGAGUGAGCGAAUCAGGUCAGUGAGUGAGCGAAUCAGGUCAGUGAGUGAGCGAGCGAAUCAGGUCAGUGAAUCAGGUCAGUGAGUGAGCGAAUCAGGUCAGUGAAUCAGGUCAGUGAGUGAGCGAAUCAGGUCAGUGAGUGAGCGAAUCAGAGCAGUGAAUCAGGUCAGUGAAUCAGAGCAGUGAAUCAGAGCAGUGAAUCAGAGCAGUGAAUCAGAGCAGUGAAUCAGAGCAGUGAGUGAGUGAAUCAGGUCAGUGAAUCAGAGCAGUGAGUGAGUGAAUCAGGUCAGUGUAUCAGAGCAGUGAGUGAGAGCAUCUCGAGAAUGAGUCUCAGUACACAGACGUGUUUGAGUACUGAAUCAGUUCAGUGGUCGGAACUCGGUGUGGCGGUACACGAGUCUAUAAUGACCAAAAUAUCUUCAAAUGAAAGCCCUGUUCACACCGGGACGUCUUUCACAGCGCAUUAAACGGUCCGUUUAACGCUCCGAUGGCUGUCGGUGAGAGAGUUCACACGCGUAAAAAGCGUUGCGUCAGAGCGCCAGAUUGUUUUUAACAUCGACGUGUUUGUUUAUUGGGGUUUUGUUUUUAUGUGCCGACUUGGACUUGGAGUUCAAGUACAAAACUGUCUGAAUGAAGAAGCAGCAGCAGCAGCACCCAUCAUUUCUGUAAGAGUGCAUGUGACACAAAAUAAAAUGCUCAGUGCUAAUAAAUCCUUCCGCGUGCACACACGCACACACACACGCAGUCCUGUCACCAGAGUCACGAUUACACACUAAGUGUUAGCACAGUGCUGUUUAUUAAUUGCCUGUAACUUUAAUGAUCGAGUAGCAACACAAUGGAGCUAAAGCCUGGAGUCGAGUUUCUAGUCCAAACUGAUGUUUAUUCUCGACUCGUUGAUGUGGUGGUUAUUUUUGUGACGAGACUGAAAUGCAGGAAUAUAUUCUAAAUAUUCUAAAUAUUCUAAAUGAUCCGUUUAAUUCUUUCAGUUUUAUUUUCUACAUUAAUUAGCAUUGUUUCUUUGUCUGUUCCCUGCAAAUAAUAAUCUGCUGAUUGAUCCGUUGUGUUUAUUCUGCACCUGGCAUACAGGUGCAUUUAAAAAAAUGUGAAUAUUGUGGAAAUCUUUUUUUUUUUUCUUCUGUAAUUUAAUUUUAAAAAGGAACUUUCAUACAUUCUAGAUAUAUUUCUUCUUUUUGUUUUAUUACAGCUCACGGAAAUCAAAUCCAGCAUCUCCAAAAAAAUGUGAUUUAAAAAAUGUAAAUCCCAUAAAUUUGUGAAUGCUAUUGUAAAGUUGUGCAGCGCCACCUUGUGUACCGGGGGUAUUUCUGCUUUUCAAUAAGCGCCAUCUGCUGUCAGGGAGUGAAUUGACGCUUUCUUUCAGCGCGGCGCUCGUGUUUCACGCCCGCCUGUGAACACCAAACCCGGCACGGAGAAACGGACCGGUGUGAACACGCCCUAAAUGUCGUGACUCGUUUAAGCACUGGAAGUUAUCACGCCGCUUUACCCAUGAUGCAGAGCGAGAGAAUCGGACAGACCCUGAUGUAGCUGUAACGAGGACGAGGUUCUACGCCCUGCGAGGGUUCAUGAUCGGAGAGGAAGGCUCGGUUCUGACCCGGGCCGGUCCACUCGUCCUGACUCGCUGCUCUACAGAGAUCCUGCACUCUGAAUAAACACGCCGGAAAUCAACAGAAAUAACAACACAGGAGAUAUAAAUAAAAACAUUCUCUAAACCCAUUCGAAUGUUCAGUUAUUAGCGGCGAACGACUGAACAAUUAGAACUGUAAAGGAACCGUUUGGAUAAAGAUGAAACCCAGCAGCGUUUGAGGUCGUGUUUCCUCCCAAACCACCCCGAGUGGCCAUGUGCCGAUAUCUCACUUCGCUCCACUUCACUGCGUUCUGCAGAAGAUAUAAAGCUGUUCCUCUGCUAGAUUUACAGUAAGUGUUCAAAUAUAUGAAAUACAAUAAAUAAUACAGUAUAUAAUUACAUAAACAGAUACAUCUGACAUAUUUACUAGAAUUAAACAACCUAAUUAAAUGAAUAUGAAUUAAUAUUAAUAAUAAUUUCUGAAUUAAUACAAUAAGAAACGAUGCUUUAGUAAUCGGACGUUUUCUCCCCCAAACAUUUGACACAUUUAUUGUAUUUCAUAUGUGAUUUAAAACGAACAAAAAUACAAACAUCCACUUUAUUUAGGCUUUCUUAAUAAUUUUAUACAUAAAUAAUUUUUAAUUUUAUACAUUAACCCCGCCCCCUAAAAGGUUAGAUAGAGAAUUAAACAUGACUUUGUUCUUUACUGGUUUCAUGUUCCUUCGAUUUUCUGUGUUCAUUUAUUUAAGGACUCAGAGCAGGAUUCUGUCUAUGAAAGGAAGAGACAGUGUGAAUAUAAUAAUGAUGAUAACAGUAAUAAGCGGUGGGUAAAGCGUCAUGCUGGGACAGUUUGGGGUUUGAAUAUCAGCACAUGGCCACGCUGAUCAUCUCCCGCAUCACCUCUAACAAUUCAUCUUCAUCACCUCCUUCCUGAAUGAAGGAGGAACGUGCAGGACACGAGGGCACCCCCGUGUGUGUGUGUGUGUGCGUGUGUGUGUGCGUGUAUGUGCGUGUGCGUGUGUGUUUCUGUCUCUCGGCUGAAGCGUAUGGUUCUGCUGGAAGACGUGUGCAGCUGUUCUGAUGGUUUGUGUCAGCGUGUAGAUCAUCAGCCUGAGAAGAACGAGAGGAGAACAGUGAUGUAGAAACGCCGCCGAGCUCCGGGAGAAGAAUUCAUCACCGUCAUCAUCACCAUCAUAAUCGUCAUCAUUAU